CCUACGGGUGGCAGCCGUGAGGAAUAUUGGUCAAUGGGAGAGAUCCUGAACCAGCCAAGCCGCGUGAGGGAAGACGGUCUUCGGAUCGUAAACCUCUGUCAGCAGGGAAGAACGGUCACUGUGCUAAUCAGCAGUGAAUUGACGGUACCUGCAAAGGAAGCACCGGCUAACUCCGUGCCAGCAGCCGCGGUAAUACGGAGGAUCCGAGAGUUAUCCGGAUUUAUUGGGUUUAAAGGGUGCGUAGGCGGCCUUUUAAGUCAGCGGUGAAAGUCUGGGGCUCAACCAUAGAAUUGCCGUUGAAACUGGGGGGCUUGAGGAUGUUUGAGGCAGGCGGAAUGCGUGGUGUAGCGGUGAAAUGCUUAGAUAUCACGCAGAACCCCGAUUGCGAAGGCAGCCUGCCAAGCCAUGACUGACGCUGAUGCACGAAAGCGUGGGGAUCAAACAGGAUUAGAUACCCCUGUAGUC
rnacentral:rRNA from 1 species